rnacentral:rRNA from 1 species
UACGUAGGUGGCGAGCGUUAUCCGGAUUUACUGGGCGUAAAGUGAGCGCAGACGGUCUUUCAAGUCAGAUGUUAAAUCUCUCGGCCUAACCGGGGUGGUGCAUUUGAUACUGUUGGACUAGAGGACAACAGAGGGAGGUAGAAUUCCCGGUGUAGUGGUGGAAUGCGUAGAUAUCGGGAGGAAUACCAGUGGCGAAGGCGGCCUCCUGGGUUGUUUCUGACGUUCAUGCUCGAAGGUGUGGGGAG